GCGCCCGUAGCUCAGCUGGAUAGAGCGCUGCCCUCCGAAGGCAGAGGCCUCAGGUUCGAAUCCUGUCGGGCGCACCA
rnacentral:tRNA from 3 species